rnacentral:rRNA from 1 species
CGCUGCAGCCGUCCCACCCUGAAUGCGCCUGCUCUUGUCUGAUCUCGGAAGCUGAGAGAGUCGGGCCUGGUUAGUACUUGGAUGGGAGAUGGAGAGUUAUUCAUGCCGUGG